AUUGAACGCUGGCGGGAGGCUUAACACAUGCAAGUCGAGCGAGCGGCGGACGGGUGAGUAAUGUAUGGGAACGUGCCCGAUGGAGGGGGAUAACUACUGGAAACGGUAGCUAAUACCGCAUACCAUGGGAUGGGCGCAGAUGGGAUUAGCUGGUAGGGGGGGUAAUGGCUCACCACGGCGACGAUCCCUAGCUGGUCUGAGAGGAUGACCAGCCACACUGGAACUGAGACACGGUCCAGACUCCUACGGGAGGCAGCAGUGGGGAAUAUUGCACAAUGGGCGCAAGCCUGAUGCAGCCAUGCCGCGUGUGUGAAGAAGGCCUUCGGGUUGUAAAGCACUUUCGGCGAGGAGGCGUUACUCGCAGAAGAAGCACCGGCUAACUCCGUGCCAGCAGCCGCGGUAAUUC
rnacentral:rRNA from 1 species